rnacentral:rRNA from 1 species
GAUGAACGCUGGCAGUAUGCUUAACACAUGCAAGUCGUACGGAAAUUUUUAGCAAUAAAAAUUUGAGUGGCGGACGGGUGAGUAACGCGUAAGAAUCUUCCUUAAGGAGAGGGAUAACUAUUGGAAACGAUGGGUAAUCCCUCAUAUGGAGUCAUCUGAAAAGAACUUGUUCUGCCUUAAGAUGAGCUUGCGUCUGAUUAGCUAGUUGGUGAGGUAAUGGCUUCCCAAGGCGACGAUCAGUAGCUGAUUU